rnacentral:rRNA from 1 species
GAAUCCCGUCUUUGGCAUGGAUGACCGGGGCUUUUGUGAUGCGCUCUCGAAGAGUCGAGUUGUUUGGGAAUGCAGCUCAAAAUGGGUGGUGAACUCCAUCUAAAGCUAAAUAUUGGCGAGAGACCGAUAGCGAACAAGUACCGUGAGGGAAAGAUGAAAAGCACUUUGGAAAGAGAGUGAAACAGUACGUGAAAUUGUUGAAAGGGAAACGCUUGAAGUCAGUCGCGUCGGCCGAGACUCAGCCUUGCCUCGGCUUGGUGUACUUCUUGACCGACGGGUCAGCAUCAAUUUUGCCCCUUGGAUAAUGGCGAGGGAAAUGUGACACCUUUAUAGGUGUGUUAUAGUCUCUCGUCGCAUGCAAGGGUCGGGAUUGAGGAACUCAGCACGCGCCUUCGGGCGUCGGGGCCUUGCCCACGAUACGUGCUUAGGAUGUUGGCGUAAUGGCUUUAAACGACCCGUCUUGAAACACGGACCAAGGAGUCUAACAUGCCCGCGAGUGUUCGGGUGGAAAACCCGUGCGCGCAAUGAAAGUGAAAGUUGGGACCUCUGUCGCGGAGGGCACCGACGCCCGGACCAGAGCUUCUGCGACGGAUCUGCGGUGGAGCAUGUAUGUUAGGACCCGAAAGAUGGUGAACUAUGCCUGAAUAGGGUGAAGCCAGAGGAAACUCUGGUGGAGGCUCGUAGCGAUUCUGACGUGCAAAUCGAUCGUCAAAUUUGGGUAUAGGGGCGAAAGACUAAUCGAACCAUCUAGUAGCUGGUUCCUGCC